CCGGGGCGCCUGGAGGGGGUUCGGAGGAGGCAGGGCGAGAGGGAGGACUUGGUGACCAGGUGCGCGUGGGGAGACGUCAGACCGUUAGAGCCUUGCAGGUGCCGGACUGCGAAUACAUCACCCGGGGCAAUUAAAAAUCUCCGGGGCUUGGCAAGAUCAGAUGGUUGGGUGCAGAUUUCUCUCUCAAGGCUGCGCCGGAUCUUAGUUGCAGCACGCCGGAUCUUCGUUGCAGAACGCAGGAUCCUUUAGUUGCGGCAUGCAGACUCUUAGUUGCGGCAUACAUGCGGGAUCUAGUUCCCGACCAGGGAUCAAACCUGGGACCCCUGCAUUGGGAGCGUGGAGUCUUACCCACUGGACCACCAGGGAAGUCCCCAGCAGUCUGACUUCUGUUUCCUGUAAAGCAUCAGAAACAUUGUUCAGAUAAUUCAGCAAAGGAGGAGUCCCUCAGAAACAUGGGGCCUUGGAAAACUCAUCUCACCCCUCUGGGUCUCAGUUUC